GCCAUAGGGGCCCCUCCUAUGUGGACAGAAGCCUGAUUGUGAGCCAAGCCAGUAAGAAGGUCAGCUUCUCUUUAGAUUAGGAGGCUGCAGAGCAAACAGUCUAGCAGUGACCACAGGGUGGAGGACAUGACUUUGAGGGUGGAGUAUGUGGCUGUAUUUUGUCUUAGCAAUGCCCAGCUCACUGAGGAGAUCCUGAUCCAUUCUCAGCUAAUUCUGCCUCUCAAGAACUUCAGUGCCAUUGUGGGACCACCCAGGAAGACCUUCUGUUCAAGAUCAAGGUGAGAUCUUCACCUGGGAAAAAGAUUGUGGUCAGCUGUUCUGUACAUGCUGAGGAGAGAGUAGGGGGCUGCAUGACAUGAUAGGUUUGUAAAUUGUCCUUGCUUAGGUUCCAUUGAAGUCACCUUGUACUUACUCUCUUCUGCUGUCUAUAUCUAAUAAGUCCAGAUCAAAAGUUACUUAAUCUUAUGUUUUCAUCAGUGAGUAGACUUUCAAUCACCUUCCACCUUCAUCUGUUUAUUAAUUAAGAUGUGGUUUCUUUGAUCAAAGUUUUACUUCUAUACAACUUUAUCUCACUUCUCUCUUUUAAAUUGUUAACAUUUUUCUGCUCUUUUCAAAUACCUUUCUACUUUCAUCACUCCCAUGGGCUUACUUACUUAUUUUUUUGUGAUAUAUCCUUCCUCUUAUUUCCUUAGUGUGUUGGGAAGAGAUUGUUUAGUGUGAUGUAUAAUUUAAAAAAAAUGGAGCUUUUGAUAAAUAUGAUUUAGCUAUGGAUGCCAUUGUGGAUGUUGGCAUCUGUGUAUCUGCUCUUUUUAAAAAGUUUUAUUUUAUUUUUUAUGGAAUGAUAUAAUAAUUGAGGACAGUUUAAUAACAUUUCCUUGAACUUCUAAGUUUAAGGAAAACAAUUAAGUUUAAGGAAACCAACUUAAGGUGCAGUGAUACCCUGGGGCUAGUAAUUGUGAGGAACUAUCACACCCUAGGCUUUAACAGAUUAAAGUGGGAAGAGGAGAAAGUGGCUGGUAGAAACAAUCAGAGUAACUGAUGAAAGGGUUGUAGGGGCUUUGGCCUUUGUAGAGAUAAUGUCAACACAUUGGAAGGAAACUUCAUCUCUCCUCUCCCUUCCUUUGAUCUGCUGAUGACUCCCACUAAGUGACUCCAAUUGGUGUAGAGGUUGGGAAAGCUCACUGAUGGCUUUUAUAGAGGUCAGCCUCCAGGAACAUAGAGAAGAGUAGGAAAUAAUGAAGGAUGGAUCCGGAUGGAUGGAUGGGGAAAAUUCAGCAGAGCCCUGCCUUCUGUAUUCAUAUUUUGUUCUGUCCAGAUGAAAUGUUCUGUGUAUGCCCCACCUAUGAUUUCCCUUCAGCUACAUUGACAACAAUUCAGUCAUCUACACAUAUGGAACUAAAGUAGAAAGCAAUACCAGGGUUUCCGUUAAAGGUAGGAGAUAGCGGGGAUAAGAGAAAGUAAAAAUAGAUAAUUAGCAUAAUACUUUUCUACUGCAGUGUUUAUUUCUGAUGCUAGUUCUGAAGACUAAUUUGAUAAUUAGAACCUCUUUCUCUCCUACCCAGUUCAUCUUAUCUUGGUUCUGAUGGUGCCUGAGAUGAAUGGAACUCUUGAAGUGUUGAGGUGAUCCUAAAUGAUCUGAGUCUACCGUGGAGCUUUAUUUACUCUGUUGCUAUUGUCUGAGACACUUAGGCAAAGUAAUGCGUUUCUCCUUUAGGGAAUAUGACUACUAACCUACUUAACCAAAUGUAGGGAUGGGGAGCAAACAUUCUUCCAGAAAGUUAUUUUUAUAAUAGUAAGAGGACCUAUUCUCAUGUAUGUAUUUUGGUUCUUUGCCCCAAAAUUCUAGUUAUGUUAGCAGUGGCUCUAUAUACUGAGAACUAGUUUGGUACUUAAUAUAUUCUAUAGAGUAGAAUUGUAACUUUGAAGGUUAUUUUCCCUUUAGUGAAUUGAGUCUUGAGAUCUCCAUGAUAUUUCAUUAAAACAGCAGCUAUUGAGUUAUGGGGCACCAUGGUAAGACCAGCACAACUUCUGGUAUGAGCCAUUUCCUAUAAUUUAAAAUGAAUCUCCCAGUUUUGGAGAUGUUGUUUGGGGUUCCAUGGUGAUGGAAAAGGUUAAUAAUGUAAUGUAGACCCUCUCAGGGGCAAAACAGAGUAGAAAGUGGAAAGUGGAACAGAUCUGUCAGAAUAAAUGGAAAAUAUUUCAGCACAUAAGAAAACUUUACUGUUUAGAAGGAGGAGGAAGAUUAAAGGAUGAUUAGAAAAAAAUAAUUGGCUAGGAGGAAAAGCAGGUAGCUUACUGGUAACACAAAUUUGGUUGAUUUUGUUCUUUUAAGAUUAUCAGGAAAAACAAGAUAGUAUGGGCUUCAAUUAAAAAACAAAUGUAAAUGGAGAGAAAAUAAUAAUAAGUCAACCCUUUUGAACUUCUUUGACAUUCUGAUGAUAGAUACUCACAUCUAAUAUAAGAAUAAUAUGGUAUAAGCCAUAAAAAUAGUUCUAUUAGAUAUUUGUGUUCAUAGAAAGUGUCCAAGAAAUUUCCCUCAGUGAAACAAUCUCUUAUUUGUUCAACUGAGUAACUAUCAGGUGCCAUAUAUUGGCCAAAGCACCAGGUACAUGGGAAUGAAAAGCUUUGGAUCCCAAGAAGCCAACAGUCUAAUAGCCAAAGAGACAUGAAAACAACAUAAAUAAUACAAGUGGUCAUUGCUAUGAAUAAAAAAAGGAGCAAAUUUGGCUUAAAGUUCUGGGAUGGAAAGGGAAAAGGAUGAAGGAGAGCUCAGGGGAAACUGCACAAAGUACCUGACUCUUGGGGAAAAUGGUAUUAUUCAAUAAACAAACAAAUAAGCCAACAGAAGAAGGAAGUUAUUACAAGCAGAGCUAAAAGCAGGUGCAAUCAUAGGGAGGUAUGGAAUAUUUAGGACAAUAGUUCAGUGAAACUGUAAUAGAUGAUGUGAGAGGGAAAGAGGUGGGGCAUGAGGCUUGUGAGGGUGUGACAGACAGGAGGCUGAUGUCAAUUAUUCUUGCUGUCCAUUCACUGUGUAAAUGAAUGGUAUCUGAUUUUUCUUACAACAUAUAUCUAUGGGAAUUAGAGAAGCCACAGCUAGAUAUUUCCUUCACUACUUGUACUAAUUUGCAAAAAAAAAUAUGAUCUUCCAAGUUAUUAAGCUUAUAUUCAGCAACUUGUUGUCGAAAAAAGUGUGUUUUCUGGGCCCCCUAAAAAUAUUAGAUGAAUAAUUAGGUUUGCUAAAAGUUCAAUCACAUAUUCUUAAAUAAUAUAAAUGUAUAUAUGGUAUAUUAAUAACUUAUUAAAGUUAUUUUAGUUUUCAAAUGGCUUUCAAAAUAUUUCAAAUAUAAGAAAAUACAAAAGUACUCAAUAUUAGGUUGGGUUAUUAUUUGUUAUUAUUUAGUAAUGUCUAACAUAACACAUAUAUUAACUUAGAGGUUAGAGGCAGAGGAAAUUGGAAUACUAUAUGAGAGUUUUAAUCUAUUUCCAUUUAGAAUCAAAGUUCUUAUAGAUAUGAGUGUGCCAUGAAAUUAUGGUGCAUUUCUAAUGUUAAAAAAGUUUAAUAUAAUUGAUUUCUUGUCAUAAUUUAAAUUUUUUAUUUCAUCUAGUUUUUUUAAAAAGUAAAGAGAAAUAUACUUUGUUACUAGAAUAUAAUUGACUAUAGAAAAGCAACGACAUACAAUACAUAUAGUUGUCCCUUUGUAUCCAUAAAGAAUUGGUUCCAGAACCUGCAUGGAUAGCAAAAUUGAAGGACACUCAGGUCCUUUAUAUAGAAUAACAUAGUAUCUGCAUAAACCCAUGUAUAACUUCCCAGUUUAAAUCAUCUGUAAAUUAUUUAUAAUGCCUAAUACACUAUAAAUACUAUGUAACUGAUAAUCAUGUGUGUUGUGUAGGGAAUAAUGACAAGAAAACAGUCUGUGCAUGUUUGGUACAGAGAGAAACUUAAAGAAAUAGUUUUGAUUUGCAUUUGGUUGAACUCAGAUGCAGAACCGGUGGAUAGAGAGGGUUGACUUGAUAAAAUGUUAUUUGAAAUUCUUAGAAUUAGCUUUUAUCUCUGGCAUACUUAGUCUGCUAUUAUAAUUUACUGCAUGGAUUUUAGUUUUAAUGAAUACAUUAAGUUUAGUGAUGCUUUCCGGAUCCUACAUGUAGGAUCAUAUUACAAUGGCAAAGAUGAACACAGUGAUUUAAAUAAAACACUUAAAUUUGUUAAGAUUUAAAUAAUUCCAAGAGAUAUUUUUUUUUUCUCAAAGCUUAUCCAUCUCUUGUUCUCUUAUCUGAAGUGCUUUGGAUCAUUGAAGGCAAAUAAAUUGUGUCAGUUUUGGAAGGACAUGGGAAGAUUGUCCAUCUUUUUUUCUGUUUUCAUUAUACAACAGUGAGCAGUGUCCUAGGGCCUGGUACAGGGAUAUUCGGCCAUGCUUACAUUCUUACAUGGAGCUUGGGAACAAACAGUUCAAGUACAUACAUGACAUUUUCCUAAAUGUUUCUUGGCAAGGUUGCAGAAAUAUUUUCAACCACUGACACAUUUUGUUUUUAUUUUUUAUAACACCACCAGUAGCAAAAUAUGCUAACACGACUGUUAUUUUUUCCUCUUUCUGUUUCUUACGGUGUGAGAAUGAAUUCUGAACAGACACAAAAUAGUUUUUGAUCUACAAAAGAAAAAAAGAAACUAAAUGCAACCCUGGAUGAAGAGCUGGGAGUGCGGGUUCUUUCUAUUUGCCUAGUGCUCUAGUUCUCCAACUGAUAGAACUCCAAACCUUUUCCUAUAUGGCACUAUGUGCAUAUUCACACAGGUCUCCACACACACAUUCACAGAUGUGCAGGCACAGUUAAUUACCCUCCCUUUAUAAUGUCUGGGGAAAAACAAAAGAAGACCACAAAGUUUGUGACAGUGUGAGCAUCAGGGGUCAUUCUCAGGGGACAGAAUGAUGUUAUUCUAAACCAGCAGUCCAUUCAACACAUUCAAAAUUUGGCUAGAUUUUCUAUACCAGCAGCUUCUGUUCUCGCCUUCUUCCUAGUGUCUGCUGAUUUAAUUUUAGUGACGUGAUCACUAAAGGAGUCAAUGUCACAGCAGCUUCUUUUUCUGAGGCCCUUUCAAGGUUUCAAGGAUUCCUUUCUACUUUAUAUCAUGCAGGCCACCUACUCUAGAAUCCUUCCUGGAACAAGUUGAAAUAUUUAUUUUGAAAGGGAAGAAAAGGUAGAAAUUAAAGUUUUUACACAAGAUAUUUGAAACUAAUUUUUGCCUUGGGAAAAUGUUACAUAGCAUUUAAAAUAUCCUCAUGUAUGUGUGGUGACAUAGUGUAAUGAUAGCUGAGUAUGCAUUCUCUCUCUAUAUAUACACUGUUGUUGUUGUUAUUAUUAUUAUUAUUAUUAUUGGGGGGGUUUCCAUAAAUUAAACCCAGGGUCACUCAACCACUGAGCCACAUCCCCAGCCCCUUUGUUUUUUAAAAAAAUAUUUUAUUAGAGACAGGAUCACCCCGAGUUGCUUAAAGCCUUGAUAUGUUGCUGAGGCUGGGAUUACAGGCGUGUGCCACCACACCCAACUUUUUUUUUUUUAACAUUUUUUAUUUUGAGACAGCAUCUAGCUAAAUUGUGUGGAGCAUCUCUAAAUUGCUGAAGCUGGCUUUGAUUGUAAUCCUCCUGCUUCAGCCUCCUGCGCCCCUGGGAUUACAGGCGUGAUCCAUCGUGCCUGGCUUCUCCAUAAAAUUUUUAGAAUGUUUCUUUGUGUUCCAAUAAUAUGCCAAAUCACAACACCCUGAAUUCAUACCAAUGGAUUAUUCUGAGCUAAAUUUCUGAAUUGUAUUCUUAUGCUGGUUAAAAUUUCAAGUUUUUAAAGUAUUUCCUUCCCAAUUAAAAAAAUAGAAUGAAAUAUACCAACUGAACCAGAUCCCAGAUAAACAACUAAACUAAAUAACAUACAAUAGUUGACAUCAAUUUUAACUUUCAGAAAUAUCUGCGAGAUGGAUUAUAUAGAAAACAAAUUAAGACACUUCUAUUUGAAAUUCUCUUGCAUUCUGGAAACUAAACAGUAUCCAGUUUAGACUUGAAUGUACCUCAGUAACCUCAGUAUCUCUUAUGGUGCUAUGAUGUCAUGGUAGAGCAGAAGUAGUUCUAAUGCCUUUAAAGAUAAUUAAAGUAAAAAUAGCAGUGAUUGGUGAAGAAGAGACCAAAGAAUAAGAUUACAGUAUUUUUUGCAGGGAACCAUUCAAAGGACUACUGCUUCACAGAUCUGUUCAUUUACUGCCCAGGAGGAGUUAGUAAAUCCAAUGUCAGUUAAGGACCCUUUUAACAGAAAACCUAUCUAUGAGAGAUGGGAAAGCUUGUGUAUGUGUGUGUGUGUGUGUGUGUGUGUGUGUGUGUGUGUGUGAGAGAGAGAGAGAGAGAGAGAGAGAGAGAGAGAGAAUUUUUAAUAUUUAUUUUUUNAGACAGGAGGAAAAGCAGGUAGCUUACUGGUAACACAAAUUUGGCACAGUUAAUUACCCUCCCUUUAUAAUGUCUGGGGAAAAACAAAAGAAGACCACAAAGUUUGUGACAGUGUGAGCAUCAGGGGUCAUUCUCAGGGGACAGAAUGAUGUUAUUCUAAACCAGCAGUCCAUUCAACACAUUCAAAAUUUGGCUAGAUUUUCUAUACCAGCAGCUUCUGUUCUCGCCUUCUUCCUAGUGUCUGCUGAUUUAAUUUUAGUGACGUGAUCACUAAAGGAGUCAAUGUCACAGCAGCUUCUUUUUCUGAGGCCCUUUCAAGGUUUCAAGGAUUCCUUUCUACUUUAUAUCAUGCAGGCCACCUACUCUAGAAUCCUUCCUGGAACAAGUUGAAAUAUUUAUUUUGAAAGGGAAGAAAAGGUAGAAAUUAAAGUUUUUACACAAGAUAUUUGAAACUAAUUUUUGCCUUGGGAAAAUGUUACAUAGCAUUUAAAAUAUCCUCAUGUAUGUGUGGUGACAUAGUGUAAUGAUAGCUGAGUAUGCAUUCUCUCUAUAUAUAUACACUGUUGUUGUUGUUAUUAUUAUUAUUAUUAUUAUUAUUGGGGGGGUUUCCAUAAAUUAAACCCAGGGUCACUCAACCACUGAGCCACAUCCCCAGCCCCUUUGUUUUUUAAAAAAAUAUUUUAUUAGAGACAGGAUCACCCCGAGUUGCUUAAAGCCUUGAUAUGUUGCUGAGGCUGGGAUUACAGGCGUGUGCCACCACACCCAACUUUUUUUUUUUUAACAUUUUUUAUUUUGAGACAGCAUCUAGCUAAAUUGUGUGGAGCAUCUCUAAAUUGCUGAAGCUGGCUUUGAUUGUAAUCCUCCUGCUUCAGCCUCCUGCGCCCCUGGGAUUACAGGCGUGAUCCAUCGUGCCUGGCUUCUCCAUAAAAUUUUUAGAAUGUUUCUUUGUGUUCCAAUAAUAUGCCAAAUCACAACACCCUGAAUUCAUACCAAUGGAUUAUUUUGAGCUAAAUUUCUGAAUUGUAUUCUUAUGCUGGUUAAAAUUUCAAGUUUUUAAAGUAUUUCCUUCCCAAUUAAAAAAAAAUAGAAUGAAAUAUACCAACUGAACCAGAUCCCAGAUAAACAACUAAACUAAAUAACAUACAAUAGUUGACAUCAAUUUUAACUUUCAGAAAUAUCUGCGAGAUGGAUUAUAUAGAAAACAAAUUAAGACACUUCUAUUUGAAAUUCUCUUGCAUUCUGGAAACUAAACAGUAUCCAGUUUAGACUUGAAUGUACCUCAGUAACCUCAGUAUCUCUUAUGGUGCUAUGAUGUCAUGGUAGAGCAGAAGUAGUUCUAAUGCCUUUAAAGAUAAUUAAAAUAAAAAUAGCAGUGAUUGGUGAAGAAGAGACCAAAGAAUAAGAUUACAGUAUUUUUUGCAGGGAACCAUUCAAAGGACUACUGCUUCACAGAUCUGUUCAUUUACUGCCCAGGAGGAGUUAGUAAAUCCAAUGUCAGUUAAGGACCCUUUUAACAGAAAACCUAUCUAUGAGAGAUGGGAAAGCUUGUGUAUGUGUGUGUGUGUGUGUGUGUGUGUGUGUGUGAGAGAGAGAGAGAGAGAGAGAGAGAGAGAGAGAGAGAGAGAGAGAGAGUGAGAAAGAGAGAGAGAGAGUCUGUUUGCAUGUGCUGUACUUUUGGGAAAGAGAGCAUAGUGAAAGAGGCUGCUCUUUCCUGCUGCUAGGUUACUGCCUUCUGGAAUAGCAGGAGGGCUGGCAGAAGGAGGAGAGAGUCUGGGCUUGCAUCAGUGACUCCUGGAAUAUUCAGCCUCAUUGCCAUCAGCGUCACAGUUCCAAGAGCAAAGCAAGGACUCUGAGCGAUGUCUUGGCAGUCCUUUGGAUGACUUAUGUAAUACACUUUUUUUUUCCUUCUCUUUCAAGCAAAAAUAUUUAUUCAGAUUUAUGUCAAUUAUUUAUUGUCUGUGCAAACUUGAGCUUUUUCACAACUCUUGGCUGAUAAUGUGCCCCUAUAAAUUAUAAAAAAACAGCCAUGGUGCAUUGAGUGGCAUUCAUUCACAUUCAGUCUUUGGGCCUAUUCUAUGAAAUUUUGUCUCUCAAAGAAAUAUAUUUUCUUCCACACAGAACUUGGGAAAAACUUUUUAUUUAUUUUGAUAUGUGCUAGCUCCAUCAGAGAUGAUUUGAGCAUUUAUUUUAACAGGCUAACUUUUAAAAGAAAGGUUAAAUAGAUGUGGAAUCCAUGGUCAUGGAAAGAAAAGAUUGCCACUGAGUGUGAUUUGCUGUUCAUGUAUGUUGUGUUCAUAGGUGUUACACAUUUCACAAAAUGUAAUUAACGUAGUUUCCGUAGCAAUGAACCUAAGGUUGGAAAAUGUGAUUCCUUGUGUAAAACUGUCCUAUGUUUGGCUAGAUAAAUAGAUUAAUUUUUUUUAAUUUAUAAUUUUUUACAAUAAACUUUAUAAUGGUUUUGAAUGUCUAAAUAUGACUUUAAAUAUAAAAAUAAUAAGAAAAACUGACAAAGUUUGAAAUUUUUAAAAAUAAUUCAUUACUUUGCAUAAGAAUAAAUUUCAUUGACUUUUUAAAUGGGUAAAUCAAUUUUUUUAUUAUAUGUGACAGUGGAAUACAUUACAAAUCUUAUUACACAUAUAGAGCACAAUUUUUCAUAUCUCUGGAUGUGUACAAAGUAUAUUCACACCAAUUCAUGUCUUCAUACAUGUUCUUUGGAUAAUGAUGUCCAUCACAUUCCACCAUCAUUUCUAACCCCAUGCCUCCUCUCUCCCCCUCUCACCCCUCUGCCCUAUCUAGAGUUCAUCUAUUCCUCCCAUGCUCCCUCUCCCAAACCCACUAUGAAUCAGCCUCCUUAUAUCAAAGAAAACAUUCGGCAUUUGGUUUUGGGGGAUUGGCUAACUUCACUUAUCAUUUUCUUCUCUAAUUCCAUCCAUUUACCUGCAAAUGCCGUGAUUUUGUUCUCUUUUAUUGUUGAGUAAUAUUUCGUUGUGUAUAAAUGUCACAUUUUGUUUAUCCAUUCAUCUAUUGAGGGCAUCAGGUUGGUUCCACAGUUUAGUUAUUGUGAAUUGUGCUGCUAUAAACAUUGAUGUGGCUGUGUCCCUGUAGUAUGCUGUUUUUUAGUCCUUUGGGUAUAGACUGAGGAGAGGGAUAGCUGGGUCAAAUGGUAGUUCCCAAUUUUUCAAGAAAUCUCCAUACUGCUUUCCAUAUUGGCUGCACCAAUUUGCAGUCCCACCAGCAGUGUAUGAGUGUGCCUUUUCCCCCACAUCCUCACCAACACUUAUUGUUGUUUGUCUUCAUAAUAGCUGCCACUCUGACUGCAGUGAGAUGAAAUCUUAGAGUAGUUUUAAUUUGCAUUUCUCUAAUUGCUAGUGAUGAUGAACAUUUUUUCAUAUAUUUGUUGAUUGAUUGUAUAUCAUCUUCUGAGAAGUGUCUAUUAAGGUCCUUUGCCCAUUUAUUGAUUGGGUUAUUUGUUUUUUUGUUGUUUAACUUUUUGAGCUCUUUAUAUAUGCUAGAGAUUAGUGCUCUACCUUAUGUUUGAGGGUUAAGGAUUUGCUCCCAAGAUGUAGGCUCUCUAUUCAGCUCACAGAUUGUUUCUUUUACUGAGAAGAAACUUUUUAGUUUGAGUCCAUCCCAUUUAUUGAAUCUUGAUUAUAAUUCUUGCGCCAAAGGAGUCUUAUUAAGGAAGUUGGGGCCUAAUCUCACAUGAUGGAGAUUAGGGCCUACUUUUUCUUCUACUAUUAGAAAAUAUUUGCUCUAUGUUAUGCAACAAUUGAUUUAUUGUAGCUUUGGUUGAAAAAUAUACAGUAUUUCUAGUUAUUCAAAUUUAUAAAACAAAAUCUAACAAAUUUUUUAAAUUAUGCAAUUUUUUUUAGUUGUACAAAUGUACAAGAAUUCCUAGGAUAAAUCCUUCAAUUUAGGAGUAAAGUUUUCUCAUUAUGGUAUAUAAUCAAACUAAUUUAGGAAUGCCAAUUACUUUUUAAUGAUUUAGACUUACACCAGCUGUAUAUGGUAAUUCUAAUUCUUCCACAUUCUUGUCAAAUCUUGGCAUUGAAGAACGAGUAGAAUAAAUAUAUAUUUUCAUUUUUCUGAAACCGAUAACUUGAAAAACAUUUUCUCUUUAACAGUUAAAUUUGUUAAGCUGUUAGUAAUGAGAUUAAGCACUUUUCAGCUAUUUUAUGUAAAAUUUUCAUUUUGUAUAAUCACCUCAAACUUUUAAAAUUGUUUUGAAAAAAACUUGUCCAUUAAAUUUAGGAUAUAAUUUCAUAUUUAUAUUAAUUUUUUAUUUUCCUCAGUGUUAAUUUUGGUAAUAACUAUAAAAAUAAUCCCAAUGACUUGUUUUAUCCUUUCAAAAGUGAAUUCAGAGGUUAAUUCAUUUUAUACCCACCAUAAUAGAGUGGUAUAGGAAGUUCCUGAAUAUUUCACUUUAGAUCAGAGGAAUCUGUGACAGAAAAAUUAUUUCACCUUUCUGAGCUGACAUGGUUGACAACUGAAUGAAACCAGCUGAGAAGUUAGAUCUUCUGAGAUCUCGUCAAAUAGGCAAUAUUUUAAAGGUUUAUAAAAUUUCACUUAUGUGCUAUAUAAGUUAAUGAAUUACAUGUUCAUUAAGCAAAACAAAUGGAGACUGUUCAAUUGCCAUUUAAUCUGCAAAGGAAAUAUGGCUGUUUUGGGGGAACAGAUCCCUCUUUUGGUUUGUGCCAUUUCAUGGACUUUAUAGGAUUUUGAAACAUAAUGGAAAUGAGAAAUGAUUUUGUCUGACUCCAACCCCUUAUCUUUUAUGAAUCUUUUAUUUAUAUGCAAUGUAGACAAUAAACCUCAUUCAUCUAUUUGAAGACUUUUGUUCAGAUUGUUUCUGAAUUUAAAUUAUUCUUUUCUUUUGGUAUCAUCAAAAGAGAGCUAACAACACUUUUUUUUUGAGUUAGGAAACAUUCUCAAACAAACCUGGAAAUGUUUGAUGCUUAUUUAUUCAUUAUUUCAACUAACCAACCAAGCAAUAAUCACUUACUAUACACCUUGUGUCAUGUCUAGAAACUCAUGAAUAAGAUGGCUAUGGUCUCUGCCCGAAUGCAGACACUUUUAGGUGCACAAACAACUUACUGCACAAUUAUGAUACAGUCUCCUGGGAAUUGUGCUUCACAAAAUGGGAACUUAGACACCAAGACUAGACUGGCUGAGAGGAACAGUGGGUGGGAUUAACCUGGGAAGGGAGUUAUCCCUGGGAGCAGGGAUAGUUUUCCAGGCAGCACAAUGGAAACAAUGAUGAGUACAAAACUAAAACUGAAGGACAAGCCCCAUAAAUCAAAAGCCAAAACUGGGGCUUUGGAUUUAACCUUUCCUGAGUUCAAAUGGGAACAUCAUCAUUCUUGACUGAUUUGACCUGUGUCCCAAGGGAAAUGUUUCUUUACUUCUCAGACUCUAGUGUUUGGAGAAGAAAAGAAAAUUGACAUCUUGAAUAUCUUUAGUCAGGAAUAAAAGUGAUUUGGUGAGUAGAGCAUCAAGAACAGGAUCUGGUAAACAAACACUUGAUGAGACCUGUCAAGUUCAUGGCUAAGCCCUGGUGAACUGAUGUGAAGAACCCUGAGAGGGCAGCUGGAGGAGUCAGCCUUGCAGAUCUGGUCCAGAAUUAAUUUGGACUUUGGACUUAAGGGUCCUAGGAAGAAUCUGAAGGGUUUUAAGCCAAGAAAUUACACAAACAGAUUUUCAUUUUGGAACAAUUUAAUACUUGGGUGCAGUCGCACAGUUCCAUAAAUAUGAGGAGUAUUUUACAUAGAAAAGAUUAUGAGGAUAAAACUUAAUAAAAACAAAUAGGAAAACAAUAGCGGCAAAGAAAAAAAACUCAAAUCAUUAAGAAAUAGAUGUUGUAUAUUUUAUAUUUUUUCUCUAUGUAGAAGAAGCCUAGAGGCCAAAUAGUAUCUUUCAAGACUCACGUAUAUCAGAUAAUAUCUCUUGGGCUACCAAACCAUUGCAUAACUUAUUUAUAAUUCUAAGAAAAAAUGUAUCACAAUUCCAGUUGUUGACAGAUCCACAUGUGCAGAAAAAUAAAAAUCAUAUGCCUAGGAGAUGGUCAGAAAUCUUAAUUACACCUAAAUUCAGUAUUGUAACAUUUGUGAAUUUAUAUACUAUGUCACUGCCUGUUAUUUAUUAUAUUCUGUGAUGGUGUUCAAUAAACAUUUGUUGAACCAAGUUUUAUGUGCAAAUCACUUUACUUUAUAUGUACUGUCACAUCUUAUUGAAUUUAUUUAUUUGUUGUCUCACCAUGUAAUAUAAAAUUGUAUAUUCCCUGUUGGAUUAUUUGUUCUUUUCUAUUUCUC
rnacentral:lncRNA from 1 species